rnacentral:siRNA from 1 species
ACUAAAUGAGUGAUUGGUUGGGCU